UAGUCCACACCGUAAACGGUGAGAGCUCGUCGUAGUGGGUAUUGACCCCUGCUGUGACCAAGUUAACGCAUGAAGCUCUCCGCCUGGGAAGUACGGUCGCAAGGCUAAAACUCAAAGGAAUUGACGGGGGCCCGCACAAGCGGUGGAGUAUGUGGUUUAAUUCGAAGCAACGCGCAGAACCUUACCUACCCUUAACAUUUCACGCUCGCCUCAGAGAUGAGAUUUUCUCUUCGGAGACAUGAGGAUAGGUGCUGCAUGGUUGUCGUCAGCUCGUGUCGUAAGAUGUCUGGUUAAGUCCAAUAACGAGCGCAACCCUUAUCCUUAGUUACCAGCAUUCAGUUGGGUACUCUGGGGAAACUGCCGGUGACAAGCCGGAGGAAGGUGGGGAUGACGUCAAGUCCUCAUGGCCCUUACGGGCUGGGCUACACAUGUGCUACAAUGGCGACUACAAUGGGCCGCAACCUCGCGAGAGGAAGCAAAUCCCCAAAGGUCGUCUCAGUUCGGAUUGCA
rnacentral:rRNA from 1 species